GCUUUUCUAGUAUACUAAUUACAAUAGACUUCCAAUCUCUAGAAUCUGGUCUAACUCCAGAGAAAAGCA
rnacentral:tRNA from 1 species